AGUUCAUUCUUCCUUGCUCUUAUCUUCUUCCACCUUUUUCCUCCGAAGUGCUUUAUCUGAUUGCUUUCACUUUUGCUUUUUCAUUCCCAUACCAAAGUGCUUUGCUUUACCUGAUUGGUUUCACUUUUGCAUUCUCAUUCACAUACCAAAUUUAGAAGCUCCUACGUUCCACCUUAUCCUCCAAAACCAAUCAACAUGGCAGAAUCACUCCUCUUUGGCGUGGCAGAGUCAUUCAUUGGAAAACUUGCAUCCGUUGCUGUUCAAGAAGCUUCUCUAUCCCUCAGCGUCUACAAGGAUCUUCAAGAAAUCAAAAAAACUGUCUCACUUGUCAAAGCCGUGUUGUUGGACGCUGAACAAAAGCAAUGGCAGAACAAUGAGCUACGUGAAUGGUUGAAACAGAUUAAGCGCGUCUUCUACGAUGCCGAAGAUGUUAUAGAUGAUUUCGAAUGUGAGGCCUUGCGAAAGCACGUCAUCAACACUUCAGGUAGCAUCAGAAGGAAGGUAAAAUGUUUCUUCUCAAAUUCUAAUCCUCUUGUUUAUCGCUUUCAAAUGGCACACCAAAUCAAACACAUCAAAGAGAGAUUUGAUAAGGUUGCUGCUGAUAGGCUUAAGUUUGGCCUUCAAAUCAAUGAUAGUGAUAAUCGUGUUGUAAAAAGGCGCGAAUUGACACAUUCAUAUGUGAUUGGUUCUGAUGUGAUAGGAAGGGAACAUGAUAAACAAAAAAUCAUUGAUAUGUUAUUGCAAGAUAGCGGUGAUAGUAAUAGUCUCUCUGUUAUUCCUGUUGUUGGAAUUGGAGGAUUAGGAAAGACUACACUUGCAAAGGCAGUGUUUAAUGAUAAGAGUUUAGAUGAGACUUUUCCAUUGAAGAUGUGGGUGUGUGUCUCUGAUGAUUUUGAACUUAAGAAUCUGCUUGUUAAAAUCCUCAAUGCAGCUAGUGUUAGUGGUUCUUCUGCUGAUCCUAACCCAAUUCACCAAGAGAGCUUUACAAACCUUGAUUUGGAGCAGCUACAAAAUCGUCUAAGGAACGUGAUUGCUGGUAAAAAGUUCUUACUCGUCUUGGACGAUGUAUGGAAUGAGGAUCGUGUCAAAUGGGUUGAGUUGAAGUAUUUAAUACAAGUAGGCGCUGAAGAAAGUAAAGUCUUGGUGACUACACGUAGCCACUCAAUUGCCAAAAUGAUGGGCACCAACACAUCAUACAUUUUGGAAGGUCUUUCUCUAGAGGAUUCCUUAUCUGUGUUUGUCAAAUGGGCUUUUAAAGAGGAAGAAGAGAAAAAAUAUCCAGAAUUGGUGGAGAUUGGGAAAGAAAUUGUACAAAAAUGUGGAGGGCUUCCUUUGGCCCUAAGAACAUUAGGGAGUUCUCUAUUCUUAAAAUUUGAUGUUGAAGAGUGGAAGUUUAUCAGAGACAGUGAGAUUUGGAAUUUACCACAAAAAGAAGAUGACAUUUUGCCUGGUCUCAAAUUAAGUUAUGAUCAGUUACCUUCUUAUUUAAAACAAUGUUUUGCUUGCUUCUCUCUCUUUGAAAAGAACUUUGAUUUUUCUAAUUUUCAUGUUAGUGUGCUAUGGGUGGCACUUGGUUUUCUUCCGCCACCAAGUAGGGGUAAAACCUUGGAAGAUAUGAACAUUCAGUUUGUGUACGAGCUUCAGUCUAGAUCAUUUCUUCAAAAUUUUAGAGACUUUGGUGGUGGUUUUUGUGGUUUUAAAUUGCAUGAUUUGGUGCAUGAUCUUUCAUUGUAUGUUGCAAGAGAUGAGUUUCAAUUGUUGAAAUUUCAUAAUGAAAAUAUACUCGAGAAUGUCCUUCAUCUGUCAUUUCUUAAAAAUGAUUUGCUUGGCCUAACGCCGGUUCCUACUGGCCUGAGAACCUUGAUAUUUCCUAAGGGAGCCAACAAUGAAGCUUUCUUGAAAACUUUGGUGUCAAGGUGCAAAUUCUUGCGUGUUUUACAGUUACCUGAUUCUACAUACGAGAGUUUGCCCCGCUCUAUUGGCAAAUUAAAACAUUUAAGAUAUCUCAAUCUUGGAAAAAGCAAAGAAUUGAAGAGCCUUCCUGACUCAUUGUGCAAACUCCAGAAUCUAUACACUUUGAAACUCAAUGGUUGCAUAAAGCUUAAAAAAUUACCCAAUGGAAUAGGAAAUUUGAUAAGCCUUCGGCAGCUAAUCAUAACUACAAAGCAAUAUACUUUACCAGAAAAAGAGAUUGCAAAGUUGACUUGUUUAGAAAUUUUAUCUGUCAAUUCUUGUGACAAUCUAGAGACGUUGUUGCUUGAAGGGAUACAACUUUCUAACCUAAAGUGGUUGGGUAUUUCUUCUUGUGGAAAUCUAAAGUCUAUGCCACUUCACGUUAUUCCCAACUUAGAGUGGUUGUUCAUUACUAAUUGCCAUAAGUUGAAAUUUUCAUUUCACAAUGAGAACCAAAUCCCAAAGUUAAAGCUGAAGUUGCUAAGUCUUGAAUCUUUGCCACAACUUGUGAGUUUUCCUGAAUGGUUGAAAGGAUGUGCCGACACAUUAAACACCUUGGUAAUUGAUGGCUGUGAAAAUCUUGAUGAGCUUCCUGAGUGGUUAUCAACUAUGAUUUGUUUCAAUAGAUUUGUAGUUAUAAAUUGCCCAAAAUUGCUUUCGCUCCCCGAUUGCUUUUCAAACCUUGAAAGUUUAUUAAUUGUAGAUUGUCCAGAAUUAUGUAGAAGAUACCAGCCUGAAGUCGGACAUGAUUGGCACAAGAUAUCACACAUCAAACAAGUGAAUGUUUUUUUCUUAAGGAGUCAAACAAGUGAAGGUUGAAUAAGACAGAAUUCCAAAAUUUAAAGGAAUUUACAAAUAUCACAAUCAAGGUUUAAAGGAUGGUGAAUUUGUGAUGCAAGUCAACAGAGGUUUGAAGUUGAAACUUAUUUUUUUUACCAAGUCAUUUGAGUGAGCUAUCAAGUCAUUUAAGUCAACUAUCAUUUUAAUUCAUAUUGAAAAUUUAUUUGGUAUAAUUUUAAGUGAAUCAUCUGAUUUGUAAUUUGAGAUUUGAAGUUGUAUGUGCUAAAGUUUGUAAUUUGGGAUUUAAUAUGCAAGUGUGUAUGAUAGUAUGCAAAGUGCAAGGAAAAUAGUGCAGUAGA